rnacentral:rRNA from 1 species
GACGAACCGUGCGAACGUUAUUCGGAAUCACUGGGCUUAAAGCGCGUGUAGGCGGGCCGGCACGUCUUUCGCUGAAAUCCCCCGGCUCAACCGGGGAAGGGGCGAGGAUACGACCGGCCUGGAGGGGGGUAGGGGCGAGUGGAAUUCCCGGUGUAGCGGUGAAAUGCGCAGAUAUCGGGAGGAACACCAGUAGCGAAGGCGGCUCGCUGGGCCAUUCCUGACGCUGAGACGCGAAAGCUAGGGGAGCGAACAGG